AGUGAACGCUGGCGGCAGGCCUAACACAUGCAAGUCGAGCGGCAGCGCGUCCGACCACCCUCGGGUGGUCGGAUGGCGGCGAGCGGCGGACGGGUGAGGAAUGCAUCGGAAUCUGCCUCGUUGUGGGGGAUAACGUAGGGAAACUUACGCUAAUACCGCAUACGACCUACGGGUGAAAGUGGGGGACCUUCGGGCCUCACGCGAUGAGAUGAGCCGAUGCCGGAUUAGCUAGUUGGCGGGGUAAAGGCCCACCAAGGCGACGAUCCGUAGCUGGUCUGAGAGGAUGAUCAGCCACACUGGGACUGAGACACGGCCCAGACUCCUACGGGAGGCAGCAGUGGGGAAUCUUAGACAAUGGGCGCAAGCCUGAUCUAGCCAUGCCGCGUGCGCGAUGAAGGCCUUAGGGUUGUAAAGCUCUUUCAGUGGGGAAGAUAAUGACUGUACCCACAGAAGAAGCCCCGGCUAACUCCGUGCCAGCAGCCG
rnacentral:rRNA from 1 species